rnacentral:rRNA from 1 species
ACACUCCUGCGGGAGGCAGCAGUGGGGAAUUUUGGACAAUGGGCGAAAGCCUGAUCCAGCAAUGCCGCGUGAGUGAAGAAGGCCUUCGGGUUGUAAAGCUCUUUUGUCAGGGAAGAAACGGUGAAAGCUAAUAUCUUUUGCUAAUGACGGUACCUGAAGAAUAAGCACCGGCUAACUACGUGCCAGCAGCCGCGGUAAUACGUAGGGUGCAAGCGUUAAUAGGAAUUACUGGGCGUAAAGCGUGCGCAGGCGGUUUUGUAAGUCUGAUGUGAAAUCCCCGGGCUCAACCUGGGAAUUGCAUUGGAGACUGCAAGGCUAGAAUCUGGCAGAGGGGGGUAGAAUUCCACGUGUAGCAGUGAAAUGCGUAGAUAUGUGGAGGAACACCGAUGGCGAAGGCAGCCCCCUGGGUCAAGAUUGACGCUCAUGAACGAAAGCGUGGGGAGCAAACAGGAUUAGAAACCCCGGUAGUCCC